UUUUAUAUAAAUAAUCGCGUCAAUACCAAAGUAUUGAUAAGCAAAAUUUAACUAAAAAGUAGAAACAUCAGAAAGCUAAAGAAACGCAUUAAGGUGACGUUAAAAAAUAUUGGCGUGCACUAGAGAAAACUUUUAAAAAGAAAGAAAAAUUUAAAGAUUUCCUACCUUUUUUGUUUGAAUGAAAAAAUAAACAAAUGAAAACUAGUAAAUGUUAGGAUUGUGAAUUUUAACAUGGUGCGUUUGGUUUCGCAAUCGAUAAGCGGUUGUCAGGCGUACCGGUUCAGUUGAAAAUACCGUUUUCGGUUGGAAUACUUUAUAAGAAAAAUUUAAAAAGAAAAAAUGACAUGUGUAGAUGUGUGGAUGUAAUUGCAAAUAUUAGAUGGCUUUUGUACCAUUAUUCAGCCAUCAAAUGGAUUACCUAUGUACGUGAUGAAAGAAAUAAAUAAUACGUAUAUUUAUAUAGAGACAUAUAAAUAAGUUAAAUAUACAUACACUUAUGUACAACCAACAGCAAAAAGUGAACCUUUUGUUCUACAUAAAGAGGCUCUUAUAGCAUUAACGAGAAACAAAACAAAACUGAAACAAAACAAAAAGCAAAUGAAUACAAAGACAGUAAUUUUAUUUCUCUAAAUAAAUGAAAGAGGUUUUCUGAGCACCUAAUGUUGAGAAAUGUGAAAAAGUUGCUUUGUAAAAUUGUCAAAAUUAAUAAUAAACCAACAAACAGUGAAAAUAAGAUAUUUGCAGUUUUUAUUACAACGGUUUGCUAGAAGUACGUAUGUAAAAAGGAAAACAAAGGUAUCAGUAAAAUUGCCAAUGAAGUGGAUCAAGAAAUGAAGAAGUAAAAGAUUCCAAAGAAAUUAAUUCAGUCCUCAAUGUGAGAAAAUAUGAAAAUACGUAACGUUCGGGAAAGAGUGUUGAUGAAUUAAUUCUUGAGCAAACGUGGAAAAAUUCGGUUUAACCAAAGGAUAGUUUUAAAGGAAAAGUUGGAAGUUGUUUAACAUUUAAUAAAACUGCUUAUGCCCACACCAGUUGCCGUGGCUACCACUGAAGAAGGUGCUUAAUCGAGAAAGGAUUAAAUGGCGCAGCGGUUCUGUUCGUUUGGACAAAAGGCGGUAAGGGUGGCGCUGCCACGAGAUAAGAAAAUCAUUUUGCUACGGCAUCUCGUCCUAGGUAUUCUUAGAUUGACUGCGACUCACUUCGCUCUGCUGACAAUGUUGCACGCCUGCAAGGAUUACAGUGCGUAAAUGAUUUAUUAAAUUUGUUUCGCAUCUUUUCAAUGCCGUGAUGAUCAACCAACCGACCAAAUUACAAAAGAUGAAGUGCUUCUAAAGAAAGAGGAAAAUGCCAAAAAUUUAUGAGACUUAUGAGAAGAUGACAUAUCAAAUGAAAUAAUCAGCUUAGAACAAAUGAAAAAGCGUACCAGAAAUUAAGUAAUAUUCAAGAAGCACUUGAUUCAAUGCCAUAUGUUUGUUACAAGCCUUGCGAGUACACAAAGUAAAUAAUUGAGUUUUUAGACCAUACUAUAGGUCGACGUCUACCUGUGUACUGGUAAGGAAGCAAGUAACUGAUUCCCAAUCCAAAAUGGAAUAUUCCAAGACGAUGUAUUGAAUUCACAGUGGUCUUGCUAAGAAUUGAAAAUCCUCAGUAAGCAUGUAAAUAAGAUGAAAAACGAGAAAGAGUACCGGAUAAAAGGCAGGGACAUCGAACCAUUAACGUCUUAUUGUACAUGGAUGAAAGCUAUAUUCCCCCAACACAGAAAGGAUACAUGGAAUUGUAAGAAUGAUCUCAGUGAAGACGGAGGCUCACUUCCCUUAAAGAAAGUUCAAAAUAUUUGGGGUUCCGAAAGGUAUGCUGGCGUAGAAAAUUAAGGAAAAAAUUAGAUUCGCAUUUGAAGAAAAGUAACGAUAAGUGAAAUCAAGUUCAACUUAAAAUGCAAAUGUAACGCUAUUAAUACUUGGGCUACACUAUUGUACGUAUACUUCUUUGGGGCAGUGAAAUGGAACAGUACGGGCCUAGAUGACGCAAAGAGAGAAAUAACCACCACCAUGUAGAAGUACAACCUACAUCACCCACUCAGCGCUAAAGAUGCCAACGAACGUGUUAACCAACCAACAUAUGUUAUGUAAUUGCACGUAAAAAAAAUUUUGACGGACACCAUUCGAAUGAAGUCGGGAAGAAUAUAAUAUAGUAUAUAUCAAGGGUUAAUAAGAGGGAAGUGGUUUAUUGAGGUGGAAGGAUUUAGUUUUGCUGUAUAGAAUUAAGUAACAUG